rnacentral:misc_RNA from 1 species
GAUGAAGAACGCAGCGAAAUGCGAUACGUAAUGUGAACUGCAGAAUUCAGUGAAUCAUCGAGUCUUUGAACGCACAUUGCGCCCCCUGGUAUUCCGGGGGGCAUGCCUGUCCGAGCGUCAUUGCUGCCCUCAAGCACGGCUUGUGUGUUGGGCCUCCGUCCUCCUCCCGGGGGACGGGCCCGAAAGGCAGCGGCGGCACCGCGUCCGGUCCUCGAGCGUAUGGGGCUUCGUCACCCGCUCUUGUAGGCCCGGCCGGCGCUUGCCGACACAUCAAUCUUUUUUCCAGGUUGACCUCGGAUCAGGUAGGGAUACCCGCUGAACUUAAGCAUAUCAAUAAGCGGAGGA